rnacentral:rRNA from 1 species
UCUGACGAGCACGCCGCGUGAGUGAAGAAGGUUUUCGGAUCGUAAAGCUCUGUUGUAAGAGAAGAAUGAGUGUGAGAGUGGAAAGUUCACACUGUUGACGGUAUCUUACCAGAAAGGGACGGCUAACUACGUGCCAGCAGCCGCGGUAAUACGUAGGUCCCGAGCGUUGUCCGGAUUUAUUGGGCGUAAAGCGAGCGCAGGCGGUUAGAUAAGUCUGAAGUUAAAGGCUGUGGCUUAACCAUAGUACGCUUUGGAAACUGUUUAACUUGAGUGCAAGAGGGGAGAGUGGAAUUCCAUGUGUAGCGGUGAAAUGCGUAGAUAUAUGGAGGAACACCGGUGGCGAAAGCGGCUCUCUGGCUUGUAACUGACGCUGAGGCUCGAAAGCGUGGGGAGCAAACAGGAUCAGAUACCCUGGUAGUCCACGCCGUAAACGAUGAGUGCUAGGUGUUAGACCCUUUCCGGGGUUUAGUGCCGCAGCUAACGCAUUAAGCACUCCGCCUGGGGAGUACGACCGCAAGGUUGAAACUCAAAGGAAUGGACGGA